rnacentral:rRNA from 1 species
GGGACAACAGUUGGAAACGACUGCUAAUACCGCAUAAUCCCUGAGGGGGAAAGAUUUAUCGCUUUAAGAUUGGCCCGCGGAAGAUUAGGUAGUUGGUGGGGUAAAGGCCUACCAAGCCGACGAUCUAUAGCUGGUCUGAGAGGACGAACAGCCACAUUGGAACUGAGACACGGUCCAGACUCCUACGGGAGGCAGCAGUGAGGAAUAUUGGGCAAUGGAGGAAACUCUGACCCAGCCAUGCCGCGUGAGUGAAGAAGGUUUUCGAAUCGUAAAGCUCUUUCGGAUGGGACGAUGAUGACGGUACCAUCUAAAGAAGCCCCGGCAAACUUCGUGCCAGCAGCCGCGGUAAUACGAAGGGGGCAAGCGUUGUUCGGAAUUACUGGGCGUAAGGGGUGUGUAGGCGGAUUUGUAAGAUAGUGGUGAAAUACCUGAGCUCAACUUAGGAAUUGCCAUUAUAACUAUAGGUCUGGAGUGACAGAGAGGAUAUUGGAAUACCCAGUGUAGAGGUGAAAUUCGUAGAUAUUGGGUAGAACACCAGUGGCGAAGGCGAGUAUCUGGCUGUCAACUGACGCUGAGGCACGAAAGCAUGGGGAUCAAACAGGAUUAGAUACCCUGGUAGUCCAUGCUGUAAACGAUGAAUGCUAGUUGUCGGCAAAAGCCGGUGACGCAG